AUUGCACCACUGCACUCCAGCCUGGGUGAUAGAGCGAGACUCUGUCUCAAACAAACAAAAAAAAAAACCAAAACCUGCCAAAACUGUCUUCCAAAAUGACCGUGUCAUUUUGUUUUCCCAUCAACAGGGAAUGGGAGUUCCUGUUGUUCCACAUCCUCGCCAGCAUUUGGUAUCAUCAGUAUUCUGGAUUGUGGCCAUCUAAUAGGCCUUUGGACUCAGACCAAGACUUACACUACUUAUAAGGCCCAGACCCCCACCAAGUUCUCAGGCCUUCAGACUUGACUUGGGCUUAAACCAUUCGCUCCCUGGGUUCUUGGGCAUUUGUCCUUGAAUUGGAAAUACACCAACUGCUUUCCUGGGCCCCCAGCUUGCAGAUGACAGAUCGUGGAACUUCUCAAUCUCCACAACUGUGUUUUAGGAUCCGAAGCACAUUACGGCCAUACUCCUUCAAUUGAAUUGGUUAACACAAAGUGGGAGUGGUAUGGAUAGCAGAUCUAUUUUUUUUUUUAACCAAAAAGUAUUAAAUAUUAACUAUUUAUCAUUUUUAAAAGAUAUACCUAUGAGCAAGCUGCACCUACUUGAAUAUAAACUCCUUGAGAAGGUUUUCCAUCUUGGGAAAUCCAGAGGCAAGAACAUGGAAGUUCCUGAUAUAGAAACACUCAACAAAUGCCAGUUGACUGCUCACAAACAUGGAAGCUUGCUAUAGAGAGAUCCUUUCAUUAAUUAACUCUGUUGCCUUGAUAAUUGUUCACCUCUCAGAAUCUCAACUGGACAAUGAAGAAAUGGGGCUGAUUCAUCUCCAAGACUCACAUGCAGCUCUAACAUUCUAUGAUUCCAUUUCAUCCUAGGUAUUUCAAGAGAACCACUUUUUAACACAUUUUCUAGAAUUCCAGAGUAAGUCAUAAUAGUUGUGAUUUGGAAAGAAUAUAAGAUUUAUUCCUAGUCCAAUGAAUCAGCCACAUUAGAGUGGACAUUUAUUAAUUUGUUUAUUCAUUUUUGUACCUUGAGUUUGAGUGAUGACAAUAUAUUUAAACUGCAUGGAAUUUGAUUUUCAAAACUGGAAACCACAGGUGUAAAUGGGACGAUCCUGACGAUGAUAGAUUCUUGUGCCUGGAACAAAAAGCACACCAUCUCACCAAAAGAGAACACUGCACAAUAUAUAGGUGGUAAUGCUUUUCAUUCACUGUGGGGAUUUGUUCUGCACAAAUAAAAUGCACAUUUUAACAAUUUAUCAGCACAAA